ACAGUGGACGCGAGCAUCUGUGGCCAAGUUUUUAAGGGCGCACGGUGGAUGCCUUGGCACCAGGAACCGAUGAAGGACGUGGGAGGCCACGAUAGGCCCCGGGGAGUCGUCAACCAGGCUUUGAUCCGGGGGUGUCCGAAUGGGGAAACCCGGCAGUCGUCAUGGGCUGUCACCCGCUGCUGAACACAUAGGCAGUGUGGAGGGAACGCGGGGAAGUGAAACAUCUCAGUACCCGCAGGAAGAGAAAACAACCGUGAUUCCGGGAGUAGUGGCGAGCGAAACCGGAUGAGGCUAAACCGUUCACGUGUGAGACCCGGCAGGGGUUGCGUGUGCGGGGUUGUGGGAUCUCACUUCUGUUGUCUGCCGGCAACAGGGCGAGUCAGAAACCGUUGAUGUAGGCGAAGGACAUGCGAAAGGUCCGGCGUAGAGGGUAAGACCCCCGUAGUCGAAAUGUCAGCGGCUUGCUUGUGAGACACCCAAGUAGCACGGGGCCCGAGAAAUCCCGUGUGAAUCUGGCGGGACCACCCGCUAAGCCUAAAUAUUCCCUGGUGACCGAUAGCGGAUAGUACCGUGAGGGAAUGGUGAAAAGUACCGCGGGAGCGGAGUGAAAUAGUACCUGAAACCGUGUGCCUACAAGCCGUGGGAGCGUCGGNNNNCUCGUGACUGCGUGCCUUUUGAAGAAUGAGCCUGCGAGUUUGCGGUGUGUUGCGAGGUUAACCCGGGUGGGGAAGCCGUAGCGAAAGCGAGUCCGAACAGGGCGUUUUAGUAGCACGCUCAAGACCCGAAGCGGAGUGAUCUAGCCAUGGGCAGGUUGAAGCGGCUGUAAGAGGUCGUGGAGGACCGAACCCACCAGGGUUGAAAACCUGGGGGAUGACCUGUGGUUAGGGGUGAAAGGCCAAUCAAACUCCGUGAUAGCUGGUUCUCCCCGAAAUGCAUUUAGGUGCAGCGUCGUGUGUUUCUUGCCGGAGGUAGAGCACUGGAUAGGCGAUGGGCCCUACCGGGUUACUGACCUUAGCCAAACUCCGAAUGCCGGUAAGUGAGAGCGCGGCAGUGAGACUGUGGGGGAUAAGCUCCAUGGUCGAGAGGGAAACAGCCCAGAGCAUCGACUAAGGCCCCUAAGCGUACGCUAAGUGGGAAAGGAUGUGGAGUCGCACAGACAACCAGGAGGUUGGCUUAGAAGCAGCCACCCUUGAAAGAGUGCGUAAUAGCUCACUGGUCUAGUGAUUCCGCGCCGACAAUGUAGCGGGGCUCAAGCGUACCGCCGAAGUCGUGUCAUU
rnacentral:rRNA from 1 species